rnacentral:rRNA from 1 species
GGCCUUCGGGUUGUAAACUCCUUUCGGGGGGGAGGAUACGGACAGUACCCCCAAAAGCNGCCCCGGCUAACUCUGUGCCAGCAGCCGCGGUAAUACAGAGGGGGCAAGCGUUGUCCGGAAUUACUGGGCGUAAAGCGCGCGCAGGCGGUGACUGAUGUGCCGUGUGACAGGCGGGGGCUCAACCCCCGUGCUGCAGGGUAGACAGGGUCACUGGAGGCAGGGAGAGGGAUGUGGAAUGCCCGGUGGAGCGGUGAAAUGCGUAGAGAUCGGGCGGAACACCAGCGGCGAAGGCGGCAUCCUGGCCCUGACCUGACGCUGAGGCGCGAGAGCGUGGGGAGCGAACUGGAUUAGAUACCCAGGUAGUCCACGCCGUAAACGAUGUGCACCCGGCGCUGGGACGUGAUUGCGCGUCUCGGUGCCACAGCUUACGCGAUGAGUGCACCGCCUGGGGAGUACGGCCGCAAGGCUAAAACUCAAA